GAUGAACGCUGGCGGCGUGCCUAAUACAUGCAAGUCGAGCGAACGGACGAGAAGCUUGCUUCUCUGAUGUUAGCGGCGGACGGGUGAGUAACACGUGGAUAACCUACCUAUAAGACUGGGAUAACUUCGGGAAACCGGAGCUAAUACCGGAUGAUAUUUUGAACCGCAUGGUUCAAAAGUGAAAGACGGUCUUGCUGUCACCUAUAGAUGGAUCCGCGCUGCAUCAGCUAGUUGGUAAGGUAACGGCUUACCAAGGCAACGAUGCAUAGCCGACCUGAGAGGGUGAUCGGCCACACUGGAACUGAGACACGGUCCAGACUCCUACGGGAGGCAGCAGUAGGGAAUCUUCCGCAAUGGGCGAAAGCCUGACGGAGCAACGCCGCGUGAGUGAUGAAGGUCUUCGGAUCGUAAAACUCUGUUAUUAGGGAAGAACAUAUGUGUAAGUAACUGUGCACAUCUUGACGGUACCUAAUCAGAAAGCCACGGCUAACUACGUG
rnacentral:rRNA from 1 species